rnacentral:rRNA from 1 species
UACAGAGGGGCAAGCGUUGGUUCGGAAUUACUGGGCGUAAAGGGCGCGUAGGCGGGCCUUCUAAGUCAUGCGUGAAAUCCCCGGGCUCAACCCGGGGAAACUGCCGGUCCUGAUACUGGAAGGCUUGAAUCCGGGAGAGGGAUGUGGAAUUCCGAGGUGUAGCGGUGGAAAUGCGUAGAUAUCUGGAGGAACACCGGUGGCGAAGGCGGCAUCCUGGACCGGUAUUGACGCUGAGGCGCGAAAAGCCAGGGGGAGACAAGCGGG